UCCGGUUUGGCACCGGCAGUCCCUCCAGAGUCCCCGGCCACUCUCUCGAGUGCCGCUGGCAACUGGACGCGGGGGUUGCGCUCGUUGCGGGACUUAACCCAACAUCUCACGACACGAGCUGACGACAGCCAUGCAGCACCUGUGCACGGACUCCGAAGAGGGCCCCGACUUUCACCGGCUUGCAGGGCCAUGUCAAACCUGGGUAAGGUUCUGCGCGUUGCGUCGAAUUAAACCACACGCUCCGCUGCUUGUGCGGGCCCCCGUCAAUUCCUUUGAGUUUCAACCUUGCGGUCGUACUCCCCAGGCGGGGUACUUCCUGCGUUAGCGCCGGCACCCAGAGGGUCGCUCCCCCAGGCACCUAGUACCCAUCGUUUACGGCGUGGACUAC
rnacentral:misc_RNA from 1 species